rnacentral:rRNA from 1 species
UACGUAGGGUGCAAGCGUUACUCGGAUUUAUUGGGCGUAAAGCGCAUGUAGGCGGUUUUGUAAGUUUGAUGUGAAAGCCCUGGACUCAAUUCAGGAACUGCAUUGAAUACUGCAAGACUAGAGUAUGAGAGAGGUAGGCGGAAUUCUUGGUGUAGAGGUGAAAUUCGUAGAUAUCAAGAGGAACAACAGAAGCGAAGGCGGCUUACUGGAUCAUUACUGACGCUGAGAUGCGACAGUGUGGGGAGCAAACAGG